CUAUCAGGGUAGCUUUUGUAGCUACUUGUUUGCGUGGAGCCUUACCACCAGUAGACUUACGAGCAGUUUGCUUGGUUCGUGCCAUAGUGACUUAGCAAGGUUGAGUGUCAACAAAACAUGACAAUGCGGCUAAACAAGCUCAUAAUUUAUUUAUGGUAUAAAUAUUAUGGGUAGCCGACAUGUAGUUACUAGUCAGAGUUUGCUCAUUCAGGAAGUAAAUUUCAAAAUGAAUAAACUUAUAGCUUUAGUGUUUAUUCAAAAUUUUGUAUCUAGCCAAAUUCAAAUACCUCCUAAAAAUAAUUUGGCUUUGUUUAACAACAUGAUGAGAGAUUUGUUCAAUAACUGCAGAGCGGAAUUUAGAACCAUCGGAUUUUGGGGUCACAACCAAAUUUUUCCAACCGAUGAUGAGACUGAUAUUAUUUUGCUGAAUAAAAAUGAAAUGUUAAAGGAACCGUCAACCAGGCGGAUAAAAUUUCUGGUGGUAAUUCUUGGAGAAUUCAAUCCUGAUCCUGAAAUGACUUUGUUUGAAGUGAUGCCGACUCUUGAAAUAGAAACAAUGUUUGUUUUUGACAAAAACAAUUCAAAUCAAAAAUCCAUGGACAGCAUAUUUGAUUGAUUUCAAAAUAGAUUUGAAAAUUCGAAAUUUUACUACUGCACUGCGACAGGAGGAAGAAUUGAUAUAGUAACUUUUAAUACUUUCGCGGAUGUUGCUCCAGCAUUCUGGGCCAAAAUUGGAGAAGUUCAAUUUUCAGAUGACGAUAGGGAUUGGAGCAUUUUCAAAGCCGAAUAUGCUGAAAACACUAAAUAUAUUUAUGGUUCUGAACUUUGCGAAAAUAUAAUUUUCGAUCGGACUAAAAAAUUACAUGGCUACAAAAUAAAAGUCUCAGCAAAACUACAAAAUCUUUCCGAACCAAAACUUAUCGUCCUAAAUGACUUAAUCACUAAAGACACUGACAAUUUACGAGUUAUAUCUAUGCUGAGUCCAAUGCAAGGAUUAUUCAGUAAAUUCUUAACGAACUAUUUGGAUGUAUCGGUCAAUAUUACUCAUGGCAUGCCAUUAUGUCGCGGCGUAGACACCAGCGUAAUGAUAAUGGAUGGAACUUUAGAUUUGAGUCUCGCAGUAAAUAGAUUAAGGCGGGAGAGUAGAUUUAAAUUUGAAUAAUUUAAAAUAAAUAAUAUAAAUAUUUAAUGAA
rnacentral:lncRNA from 1 species